rnacentral:rRNA from 1 species
AGUCACUGACAUUAGAUACCCGCGUAGUCCAGGGUGUAAACGCUGCAGACUUGGUGUUGGAGGCCCUUUGGGGGCAUUCAGUGCCGGAGAGAAGUUGUUAAGUCUGCUACUUGGGGAGUACGUCCGCAAGGAUGAAACUUAAAGGAAUUGGCGGGGGAGCACCGCAACGGGAGGAGCGUGCGGUUUAAUUGGAUUCAACACCGUAAAACUCACCAGGGAAGACUGUUACAUGAAGGCCGAGAUGAAGACUCUGCCAGAUUUUUCAG